GAUGAACGCUAGCGGCAGGCUUAACACAUGCAAGUCGAGGGGCAGCGCAGUGUAGCAAUACAUGGGCGGCGACCGGCGCACGGGUGCGUAACGCGUAUCCAACCUUCCCGUUACUCAGGGAUAGCCUUCCGAAAGGGAGAUUAAUACCUGAUGGUGUUUGAAUUCCGCAUGUUAUUCAAACUAAAGAUUUAUCGGUAACGGAUGGGGAUGCGUGACAUUAGGUAGAUGGCGGGGUAACGGCCCACCAUGCCUACGAUGUCUAGGGGUUCUGAGGGGAAGGUCCCCCACACUGGAACUGAGACACGGUCCAGACUCCUACGGGAGGCAGCAGUGAGGAAUAUUGGUCAAUGGUCGAAAGACUGAACCAGCCAUGCCGCGUGAAGGUCACGGCCCUAUGGGUCUUAAACUUCUUUUGUAAGGGAGCAAUAAGGCGUACGUGUACGUCGAUGAGAGUACCUUACGAAUAAGCAUCGGCUAACUCCGUG
rnacentral:rRNA from 1 species